AACGAACGCUGGCGGCGUGGAUAAGACAUGCAAGUCGUGCGAGAUUCCGGUGGUAGCAAUAUUGCCGGGAUUUAGCGGCGAAAGGGUGCGUAACACGUGGGUUAUUUGCCUGAGGGUUCAGUAUAACUUCGAGAAAUCGAAGCUAAUAAUGGAUGCUUGAGCAGCAAUGUUCAAAAAGCUGGGGACCGCAAGGCCCAGCGCCUUCAGAUAAGCCCGCGGCCUAUCAUGCUAGUUGGUGGGGUAACGGCCCACCAAGGCGACGACGGGUAGCUGGUCUGAGAGGACGACCAGCCACACUGGAACUGAGACACGGUCCAGACACCUACGGGUGGCAGCAGUCGAGAAUUUUUCACAAUGGGCGCAAGCCUGAUGGAGCGACGCCGCGUGGGGGAUGAAGGGCUUCGGCUCGUAAACCCCUGUCAUCUGCGAACAAUGCUGAAGCCGGAUAAUGGCUCCAGUUGAUAGUAGCGGAAGAGGAAGGGACGGCUAACUCUGUGCCAGCCGCCGCAGUAAUAC
rnacentral:rRNA from 1 species